UAAACGUGUCCACCUUCCCUGGAGUGGGAGGAGGAACAGUCUUAUUUAAGAGAGGAAGGAGCCUGGGCCACUCAGAGUUUCCCACAGCUCGAGGAGGACUUGGUCUCCACACUGUUGCCUCUAACCUUGAAUUCUGUUGGACCGAGAUAAGUGCCCCUAGUUUGGGAGCUUUGGGGGUGAAGAGUGUAUUGGGACUUGGUUAAAGAAAGCUGGGCCUUCUUAACCUCCGGUGAGAUGUCAGAUACUCAAGCAGUUUGUGAGCUGUGUGUGGUUGCACACAUCUGUAACCCCAGCACUGAAGACACUGAAGCAAGAUAGAGCAUUAAAGGCCAGCCUGGGCUACAUAGUGAGCUACAGAAUUAGACACCCUACCCUACUCCACUCCCCCCACCCCCCACCCCAAUCUCAAAACAAACAUUUUAAAAAGAAAUUCACGAUGGACCUGUUACCUGCACUAAUUCUCUAAACCUGGUUUAUACCGAGUUGCAAACUGACCCAUAGUUGUGUUUCUUUAAGUUGUUGUGAUUCGUGCUAAAGACCUGAUUUUGGGUGUCAGAGGAAAUUAUAUAUCCUGGCUUUAAAUGUGGGAAAAUGUAGGAAUACAGCGUUUUUUGACAAGACAAUUAAAGGUGUUUCAAAAUUCCGUUUUCUCCCAAAUGAGCCCUUUCAUGUUAGCAGGCAGGUUGGCAUGGCUUAGUCGCAUGGUCUUCCAAAUGUUUAAUUAUUAAUCUGCUGAGGAUUCAAAUAAAAGUUUAAUUUUAGUAAA